rnacentral:lncRNA from 1 species
CUGCCCUCCUGUGCGGACCGCCUGCCUGUGGUGGCUCCUUAGUACAACCACGUGGAUUCCAAGCCCAGCCAAUGGUAAAGGGGAAGGGGGCGGGGCGCCCAGUCAGAAGUCACGUGCUGCACACCUAACGUCUCCAUUGGCCAGCAUGUGGUCACAUGAUCAUACAAAGGCAAGGAAGGACCGGUAUACCCGGGUGUACCCCUGCGGCCUAGGGCAAGGAUUCCACUCUGAGGAGAGGAGGAGAAAUAGAAGUUCACCAUCCAAACAAGAGUCCAAAGUGGGAAGUGGCUGUUGCUGUGAAGGAGAUGGAGGAUUCUCUGCACAUUCCAGGAAAAGAAGACACAUUUGUGUAAGGCUAGAAAUUUUAGUUAAAUAAAAAUAGACAGUGGCGUGGGCUAAAUGCCCAAUGAACACUCAGAUAAAAAAUUGCCUUUGACACAAUAAGCAAUAUAUAUUUGGUCUCUGUCCCACUUCCUGGUAUGCGACUUCCAAAACCUUGGAAUCUCUGAAGUGACAAGUAUCUUCUUAAGUAUGAAGGAGGGGCGCCUGGGUGACUCAGUGGUUGAGUGUCUGCCUUUGGCUCAGGGCGUGAUCCCGCGGUCCCGGGAUUGCUUCUCCCUCUGCCUCUGUCUCUGUCUCUCUCUGUGUGUCUCUCAUGAAUAAAUAAAUAAAAUCUUAAAAAAAAAAAAAGAGUGUGAAGGAAAUGGCUGAGGCUGGAGGCUCCAGGAUAAACCGCAGGAUGGAGGCUGGUUGCCAGGGGAACCAACCUCCCAAUUAGAGGGUCGGUUUUUCAGCACCCCAUGCCUACUUUCCAAGAGGGAGGAGAGAAGGUUGGAAAUCGAGCUAAUCAUUCAUAUUGAGAAAUCAAUAUUUUGAUUAUUGAAAAUAUUGAGAAAUCAAUAAUUUCAUCCACUGAGCCUAUGACAUGAGGCCUCCAUUAAAAAAAAAAAAAAAGACAGGGAUCCCUGGGUGGCACAGAGGUUUGGCGCCUGCCUUUGGCCCAGGGCGCGAUCCUGGAGACCUGAGAUCGAAUCCCACAUUGGGCUCCCAGUGCAUGGAGCCUGCUUCUCCCUCUGUGCCCCCCACACUGGCCCCCAGUCAUCCCUUCAAUUGAGCUUGUACCUCUUUUUCAUAAACUAAUAAUA